ACCUGUGAAGGGAGCUCCUACACAGCUGUAGCCCGAGACUCCAGGAGAAGCCGGAGGGGAGGCGAACUGGUGCGACCCAGGGACUGCCUGCCGAGGAGAUGCCGGCCUGGAGAUUGCAGCGAGCUGGGCGAGUACAGGGGAAGGAACCCCAGGGAACCAGCUGACUUUGGAUCAUCUUCCUCAACUUAUGGCUGGAUUCAACUACAAGAUUCUGGAACACUUUUCAAUACAAUCUUUCUGCUGCUGCUCAGCUCCAGCUGAUGUUAAGGGACAUUAAGGGUGCUCAGCACCACUCAGAAGUUUCUCAGUGCUUCACAGAAUGGAGUCUUAAAACAUGAGAAUACGGACAUAGUGUUUCUUUUCAAAUUUCCCAAUUAAAAGCCAAUGGGAAAUCAAUGGGAGUCUCUCUCUCCUUCUCAACAGGCUUUGGAUCAAGCACUAAAUCUCUAGAAAUUUAUCUUUGUACAUUUAUUUUAAGUGUUGAUGAUGACAUGCAAUAAUGGAGAAUUAAAUCGCAUCUAGUUCCAUUAAAAAUGAAUGCUAGCAUUACUACUAACAAUAACUUGAGAGAACACACACGCUUUCCCCACAUUCCUGGAUAAACUUCGCCUGUGAGUUUGUUUCAUAAGGCCCAUAUAUAACAGGGGGGCCAGCAGACUGAAACGUUUCACCUCCAGUGUUGCAAGUUAGUUUCACCAGUUAGGUUUCAUGACACAACAGCAUUUACAUGCAUCAGCAAACAAUGAACAUCUAGGAAUAUACAAUACCUGUGACUGUUGUAGACACAGACUCUUCAUUUCAGAAUAAGCAAAGGGCAAGAAAACAAAUAAAAUGAACCAUUGUGUUCUUGGCUACAGGAUUUGGGGAAUCCCUAGAAAAGCCCCUAUCACUCAAGUUUUCCUCCUGGCUUCCUUUUCCCUAUUUUUCUCAUCUCUUCUCUCCUCUUCUGUGAUCAAAGGGAAGGCCUAAGUGGUUGAUUAUCCUUCUUUGAGAGAGGGGAGAGUCAUGUUUCCUGCCACUUGGAGGUUAGUGGACAGAAUGAGUCCGCCCAUCUGGUCAUUUCCUAGAAUGGGCUAGCAGAGAGCGCACAGAUCUUGAGCCUAUUGGCCCUGUCCAACCAAUGCAAAACAGAACACAGAUCAACAACUUCAGACAAUGGCAGACUCCACAUAGCUUAGGGACUGUCCUGCAAAUUGCCUGAGUCAGAAUUCUCCUUGGCUUUAUGUUUCAUUGAUCCUAAAAACUGGCUCAGGUUCCCACUCUAGAAAAAUUAAGUAGUCCUGAAGUCAAGAUGGAAACAACCUUUUUAUUCUCUUUAACUCCACUUAUUCCAAAUCCAUGCUGGCCACUUACAGCUUUCUAGGAGAUACACCAACAUGGAUCUUGUACUCUUUCCUCUUUUUCCACAUUUUUUUCCUGCAGCAAAUUUAAUUCAAGGUUGCUUCAAUCUGAUACUCUACCUUCAGUUUCAAAUUUCAAGCUGGGGCUUUUCAGGCAUUUUUUACUCAUGGGAAAGAUGGCUGUCAUUCAGUUUCACUUUACAUUUGGACCUUCUCUUCAUCAUUCUGUAUAGCAUUCCUUCAUACCAUUAACCAUUUAACUGUUGCAGCGUGGUCUUAGGACACAAAACAAGGGAAGUGCAAGAUGUGGGUUACAGAAAACAAACAGGACUUUUGUCAGCAUUUUUUUUGUCCCAACAAACUGAUCACACUUCUGAUUUUGACACCAAUAAUGGCUGAAACCAAGAGCAAGUUUUUGCAGCUAGUGGGAGGAUAGCUACAUAAUCAUAUUCCUUGCUAAGAGCCACAAAUCUAGGAGAUUGUCAGUGCUGCCACAAACAUACGGUUCCUUUUGUUGAUGGUGUAACCUCCAGUAUCUCCAACAAGGUUCACUUUAAACAUGGUUGUCUAGAUAGUUUAUGUAGGAGAAAGCUUUAACCCAGCAUUUAACUAUCAAGACACUUAAAUUCUGCCCUAGUAGAGCCAAGUAAAAACAUACACUAGUUUACAUGAGCUGUGCUGGUGUUUAUUGACUUUUUUGACACAUUAUUGCUUGGCUUUGAAAGCAUUUCAGCAUGUGGUAGUGCCCACGUACAGUUUCACUGACAUUUGAGUUUAUCUUUAAACAAUAUUUUUAAGGAUCAUAAUGUCGUUAUGCUCUGCUGACCACCUCAGUCUUUCUGCUGAUGUUUGAGCAGUCUUUUGGACACAGCCGCCAGGCCGUCUAGCCUCUGUAAAUUUCAGUUUAUACAUGUAUUGGCAAUACUUUACUUUGAGUGAGGUUGUUCAGUUGUGAUGAGGGAUGGACAGGCUGGAUAAUGUUACAACUAGAAACAGCUUCAGGGAAUUAAGAUAGAUCUUGCUGAUUCCUCAUGAAGCAAAACAAUUCUUUUACUCAGUUCAUCUACAUGUUCAUCCUCGGUCAUUAAGCGCCAAGCAAAUGUUGGUCUAAACUGAGCAAACUGAGCUGCAUGAUGAAGUCCAUGGAAUUCUGUAAAUAAUCAUUAGCCAUUUAUUCCCCCAGGACUCUCUGAAUCAUACAUGCAUAUGCUCAUAUUAACAAGUUUGUACAGGAACAAUUCAGACUAGUAUGAACCACAGAAGUUUAUAACACGGGGAAUAACGGACGAAGGGAUAAAAGGCUCUUCAACUGACAUCACUUCACAGGGCAAGAGGCACAGCUACAGCAGAUGAGAGUAUGAGCAGAACUGAGCUGAAGUCACAAGAGUAAAAUAGCACAAAGGCUUAAACUGGAACACAUACACACACACACCAUAGAAAAUAUUGAUAACCUCUUUGGUGCCAACACAAAUACAAACAUGGUAAGAGAUGCCAAACUUGGCAACUUGCCUUACCAAACAAUACUGCCACAAUUCCACAUAAAAAUCCAUAUGAAAUUCACAAUGCUAGGAGGGGAUGGAAAGAAACAAAAAGUAUGAAAUUAUAAGUUCAGUAGAAAGUCUGGAUGUCACUUUAAAGCAGUGUGAGAUGGGAGGGUGGAGGAAUAGAAUCAGAAUGCACCAUAAGCCUAAAAAUAUGCCAAAAGGAAAGUUCAGAAUCAAUUGAGCUUAGAUGUAAUAACUUUCAUUGAACUAGGCUAGGUAUUAUAUUAUACAAGCUAUGUGGGACUUACCCAUAAAUUUUGGCUCUAUCGGUGAAAAUCUCGGGGCUGUUUUUGAGACAAGUACUACAUACAGUACUUUUAUAUUGUGUAACCACAUCAUGAUCAACGGUAUAAGAAGUCAUGUGGCAUUGCAGACAGGAAUAAAUGAUGACCACCAUUCAUGAUCAAUCUUUGGUGGAAGUAAAAUAAUUCCUAUUUAACAGUCAUCCUCAGCAGGAGUGCAAAAAAUUAAAUCCAUCAAAUCACAAAGUGUCGAAGACAGAUCUAUAAAUCACAGUCAUGUUCCCAAAUAUCCUGCAUACUUUAAAAUUAGGAAAAUUAGCAGGAAAUAAACACUCACGCUUGGAGAAUAUUGCUAAUCUUGCAAAUGUGAGAACAUACACUAGAAACACUGCUGUAUAUCACAUUUUGGGGGGAAUAGUAUGCUAUCAUUGAUUAGCAGAUGCUAUUUACUACUAUAAUAUUAUAAACACAGUAAAGACUGUCUCAGAGGCUUCUGCCACUGCACAGUAAUUAUUUUAAAUUUACAAUACAAGGAUUUAUAAAGUGUGCAUGUCAAAUAUGAACUGGGCACAGGAUAAAUUAAAUGAAAUGGUCUUAAAGGCAGCAAUAGAACUAAGAACAUAUUGGAAAAAAAAGAUUUAAACAAGAAGUCAGGAGGAAAAACAUCAAGACAAUAUUAGACAGACUGGCAAACAGACCCCUGGCCUCUUUCUACCUCAGAUUAUUAUUGUGUGUCAUUAACGACAAAGUCCAAGAUUUUCAAAAGGGAUUUACACAAGGCAGGUGCUCAGCCCCAUCUGAGAAUCAGCUUCCUUUGCACUGACUAAAGUUGGGCACCCAGAAACAACAAUAGCUACUUAUGAAAAUCCCAGCUAAAAUAUAGUAGCACAAGUCAUCAUGUACUCUCAUUAGCCAUGGGCAAAUCUAGGUAAGCGUUCUUCCAUAUUUCUCCAGUGUCAGUCUGCAUUGCCUGUAUGCACACUCCACUUAUUUUCAAUCCACAUAGCUGAAAAAAAAAUCAUUAAAUGUCAGUAAAGAUCUUUUUCUUCCUCUCUCACUCCUUGUUUUGUGCUCAAAAGCCAUGUCGGUUUAGGCCACUUCUUCCUACUCAAACUGGCAGUGUCUCACUUGGAUCUCUGCUCUUAUCUUUGUUCUUCACCUCAGGAGUGUUAUACCAACUGCAAAGUCUGCAAACUUCUGUUAAAGGUACUGAGCCUUCCUGAGCUAGCCUCAACAUGUAAAAUGAAAAGUGGGGGAGGGGCAAGGACUACAGACACUUUUGGAAACACCCAAAAUAGCAUACAAUACAUAUAGAAAGCUGCACUCAGAAGCAGAUACCAUGCACCUUUCUUAGUGAGAAAUGUCUUCUGAAUAAGUUAUUUGACAGAAUAUCGAAUUCCUUUGCUCUCACAAGAUUCUAUAUUCUAGGGCUUCCCAAACUUUUCCAGCCACGGAGCUCCUAUGGGGAGUGGGGAGGGAGAGGGUUCCUGAAAAUCUGGCAAGCCCUUAAAGCAUGUGGAUUUUUAAUUCAAUAGGUACCCAAAUAAAUAUACAAAAAAUAGAAUUCUAAUCUUUGCCUAUUUCUUAUAUAUUGUUCCCACCCCCCCUCCC